rnacentral:rRNA from 1 species
UACGGAGGGUGCAAGCGUUAUCCGGAUUCACUGGGUUUAAAGGGUGCGUAGGCGGGUUGGUAAGUCCGUGGUGAAAUCUCCGAGCUUAACUCGGAAACUGCCGUGGAUACUAUCAAUCUCGAAUAUCGUGGAGGUAAGCGGAAUAUGUCAUGUAGCGGUGAAAUGCUUAGAUAUGACAUAGAACACCAAUUGCGUAGGCAGCUUACUACACGAUCAUUGACGCUGAGGCACGAAAGCGUGGGGAGCAAACAGG